ACGGAAGGCAGCAGUGGGGGAUAUUGCACAAUGGGGGAAACCCUGAUGCAGCGACGCCGCGUGAGUGAAGAAGUUAUUCGUAAUGUAAAGCUCUAUCAGCAGGGAAGAAAAUGACGGUACCUGACUAAGAGGCCCCGGCUAACUACGUGCCAGCAGCCGCGGUAAUACGUAGGGGGCAAGCGUUAUCCGGAUUUACUGAGUGUAAAGGGAGCGUAGACGGUCUGGCAAGUCUGAUGUGAAAGGCAGGGGCUCAACUCCUGGACUGCAUUGGAAACUGUCAGUCUUGAGUGUCGGAGAGGUAAGCGGAAUUCCUAGUGUAGCGGUGAAAUGCGUAGAUAUUAGGAGGAACACCAGUGGCGAAGGCGGCUUACUGGACGAUAACUGACGUUGAGGCUCGAAAGCGUGGGGAGCAAACAGGAUUAGAUACCCUGGUA
rnacentral:rRNA from 1 species